rnacentral:lncRNA from 1 species
CCUGAUUGGUCACCUACAGGGGGCGGGGCUGCAUCAUUUGCGUACGAGUCAGUAGGAAGAAAGACCUAGGAGGUGGGAGGCAGGUUGUGAUUAUCUGUGGUUCCUGAGAGGAAUUGUGAAAGCUGCAGGAAUUGUUGGACAACAUUACGUUCUUCUGCCGGCCUUACUCCCGCUAAAAGAAAGCCCGGGUAAGGGACGGUUACUUUAAGGUCGAACUGGAAGACAGAAGGCUUUUUUUCCACAGAAAAAUCUCCGCCUCUCUUAAGAGUGAAUUAGAAAGCCAGCUGGAAUAAGAGGAGAACGAGGAAACCUCUGCCUAGUUUUCAAUAAGAUUUUAGAAUCUAGGGGUUUGAAGAAGGCUCCAUUUAGUUGUUUCUGCACCCUGCAGAACAAUCAUUCUAAAAAUAGCUUAAUUUUAGAACAACCGCAAAUAACAGAUGUAUUUAGAACUUCUGUUAAAAAAAUAACAUCCAUUUAAGGCUUAAGAGGUCAAUGUUCUUGCUGAGAAAGGUAUAUUAUGCACUCUAAGCUUUUAGCUGUAGAUUUGGCAAAUGGGAUCUUAAAGCUUUUAUCAGUCAAGAGCAAACAAGUGUCUACUUCUCAUUUAGAUAUAAGAAUAUCCCCUUAUUAUAAUUGUUGUUUUCUGGUGUUGUGCUAAGUUCUUUUAAGUAGUACAUUUUAUAUCAGCCUUUCUGCACAAAAAUACAGAGAGGUAGGCAGUUUUCCAUUUUACGUAUGAAAAAAGUUUAAAAUGGUUGAACAGUUUGUCCAAGUUCAUUGAGCUAGUAAGUGGUAGACCUGGAAUUCUAGCCUUGGUCCUUUGACUCUGACCUUUAAGCAUUUGAUCUGUCAGCUCUUGUCCCCCGCUGGGAAUUUCUGCCUAAUGACCAUAUGGACGAAAGGCUUGCAAUAUUGAGUACACUCAGUCCUGGAUUCUCACAUAGACAAGGAGGGAAUAUUAUGAUUAUUUUCCCCAGUGUCAUCUGUUUUAGCCAAAGAAAGGCACUUGAUUUCUGCCACCCUCUUCCCAAUCUUUAGCAUCUCCAUUUUAUAACCUGGCCUCUUUAAUUAAGUUCAAACUGCUUUCUUAAAGGGAAAAGUAGGCCUUUUGCCUUUUGUUGGGUCUUCUAAGCUAACUUUCAGAAUUGAAAUGAUUGUGGUCACAGCUACUGGGAGGCUGAGGUGCAUGACUGAGGUAGGAAAAUGGCUUGAGCCCAGAUGUUUGGGAUCUGUCUGGGCAACAUGAUGUUUUCUAAUUAAAAAAAAAAUAGGUAAAAAACUUUCCUGAACUUUAUAGAAAUGCAUGCUGUAUUGUUAAAAUUUGGAAAAUAGAAAAAUAAGGAAGAGGAAAUUAAUCCUCAUUCUACAACCAAAUAUAACUACUAAUUUUCACUUCCUUGGAUAGUCUGUAUAUGUAGAUUGUCUCUACUUUCAGCCACAGUGUUAUUGCUACCUGAAAUAUUCUUUGUCAUGGGCAAAACCUUUUCAUCUAUUUUGUGAAUUCUUUCUUGAUUGACCUCUCUCUCUGUAUGUUUAUAGUAUUAUUAGCAUAUAAUAUUCCUAUAAUGCUUAUAAGUAUUAUAGCAUAUAAUCAUUUAUUUGUCUUUUUUAGACUAUGGGCUCCUCAGAGAAAGAUAAAGUUCUAGAACCAUUAGAAAGAAAUGCAAGGAAGUGAGGAGACCAAAAUGUCAGAUGCAUGAAUGUUUUUGCCCAUUUUGUGAGCUGGGUUCACCUGUGGCGAACCUUCUACAGAGCACCAGAGAAAUGAGAACAUAGUGAAUUUUUCAUUUAGUUAAAUUUAUUUACUCUAAGGAUUGUUUUUUAUUUCAAAAUUGCCUGUCCUUUUUUUUAAUGUAAUGAAAUAAUAGUCAAUAUUACUUGUUUUUCAAAUGUUCUUACUUCGGAGAAUAAAACAUUGGUAAUUUUAUGUGCCCAACAUGUGGCUUAUUUUUAAAGUUUUUCUUGGCCUAUGAAUUCCUGAAGUUGAGGAAUUAUAAGAAAUGACCACUGUCAGCAACCAUAAUGCUGCUGUGAUCCUAAUCUGCUUGGUUCAUUUGCUAUAGAUAUUGUCUGUACUCUAGAUAUGAUUUAGCCUAAGCCUGAAGGGUAGAUCUGAGCUUGAAUGGUGUUUGUUAAAAAUAAACAAACAAACAAACAAAAAGAGGUGAUUAUAACUGGAAGAUGGCAUGAGGGUCAAAAGUAAGCUGUUGAUCAACUUUCAUGUAAAUUAUGUAAAACAAUUGAAGUUUCUGUUUAUCUGUUACUGUAUCACAUGAAAAUAGGUAGAUGGAAUUUUGCCAUCCUUGAAGGAUGUGUUUGGAUUAGUCUGUCAUAAAAAUGAUAGAUUAAUUAAAUUUCUUUUGAACAAUCCUGGGAACUGGGCACUAUUAACACUUUGGCAUGUAUCUUCAUCUCUCUUUCAUUUAAUAUGUCCAUAGUGGUUUUAAAACCUGGUUUUAAAUUCUUUGACAAUCUUCUCAUAAAAAGAGAGUCAGUGUUUCCUCUUCUAAAGUCUGUAUGGGCCGGUGACUGAUUUGACCGGCAGAAUAUGGUUAAAGUGACCAUAGUCACUUUAUGUGACUAUGUGACUACUGAGGCUAGGUCAUAAAAGGCCAUAUAGCUCCACAUUGACUACUGGAACACUUACUUUUUGAACUUUCAAGCAUCAUGUAAAAAAGUCUCACUGCCUGAGGCUAAAGUGCUGUGAGAAAGCCUAGGACGCGCAGAGAGGCUCCUUGAAGGUACCCUGAGAGUCAGCUCAACCUAGCCCAGCUGACAGUCAUGAGUGAACAAGCUGAUUCCAGCUCCCAGCCAUACCAGGCAUUCCUCAGCCAUUUGAGUACUCCUGGCUGAGGCCAUAGUCAGUCAUGUGGACCAGAGAUAUGCACACCAUCCUUGUUUCUGCUUUGUCCUGUGUCCUGACCUGAAAAAUCCAUGCACACUUAGUUUGGAGUUGCUUGGUACACAUUUUUCCAGUAGUCUUUUAUCUAUGUGUUUAUAUUUACCUAAUCUGAAAGAAGUUUCUCCCUUAUAAUGAUUUUCUGCCUAUGGCUGACUCACCCUAGGAAGAAAUGUCUUAGAUUUUUCUUUUUAAGGAACAUUUUGGCUCCGGAAUCUGAGAUGAUGCUAACCAACCAAUGAGUUAAGUGAGUUUUAUAUAUAAAGAUUGUAAAAAGAGGAGAGAUCUAAGAGGGUCCUUACAGUAUGCUUCAAUUUGUAUUGUUUCCUUUUUUUCCUCUUCCCCUCUCAAAUGGGAGGGAAACUGGUCUAUUCUAUACCAAAUGAGUGGGGAAGAAAAUGGAAGUGGUAUAAGUUGUAAUAUCAAACUUCAAAUCUGAACCUUGGAGCUGAGUAUUUUUGCUUCUACUGAGAUUAAACUUUACCUACCAUAUCUUUCAGCCUAAAUUUUACACUUCGUUGAAGUUGCCAUGUCGUAUUCAUCUCUACUGUCCCCUGCCCUACCCAUGUCUAUAACAGAUAAAGCUGAGAUCCUUGAUAAGUAUCAUCGUAUCUCUAUUUGUCUAUAUGACUUUAUAUAUAGUCUACCUUAUCUUGAGGCUUCUCUCAGAUAUUUUUGGUCAAUACUGUAGUUGCAUUUAUAAAUUCAUUAAGUAGCAAAUUUAAUAAUCAUUAAAUAUGAAAAAAUAUAACAUGUUCAUGUUAAAAUAAAAAUGAAUUUCGAUGACUUGGAAAUUUUUUUAGUAUUUCAUAGCACUGUAAUUUAUUUAUUGGGUCUUACACUUCAGAGCUGUGGCUGACAAAAUGUCCUGCAGUCAUUCUUGGUCUGCAGUAUGUUUCUGUAUGGUCCUUGAGCUAAGAAUAAUUUUUUACCUUCUUUUUCAACUAUGGUAAAAUAUCCAAAACAUAGUAUUUACUGUUUUAAUCAUUUUUAAAUGUACAAUUCAGUAGUAUUAAAUAUAUUCACAUUGUUGUGCAACUCUUACCACUAUGACCUCCAGAACUUUUUUAUCAUCCCAAGUAGAAACUCUGCAUUCAUUAAGUAGCAACUCCCCACAGGUCUUGGGUCACCAUUAUUUUACUUUCUAUCUGUAUGAAUUUGACUAUCCAGCUAACUUGCAUAAGUGGAAUCAUACGAUAUUUGUUCUUUUGUGUCUGGCUUGUUUGACCUAGCAUAAUGUUUUCAAGGUUCAUACAUAUUGUAGAAUUUUAUUUCCUUUUUAGGAUUGAAUAAUAUUCCAUUGUACGUGUAUACCACAAUUUGUAUAUCCAUUUCAUCCAUUGAUUAUCUUUUGGGUUGUUCUUACCUUUUGACUAUUAAUAAAUGCUACUAUGAACAUUAGUAUAUAAAUAUUUGUUCGCAUCCUUGUUUCUUAUUUGGUUUUAUAUUUUUAAAGAGAUAAAAAGAACAUUUAAAUUUUUUUUUACUAUCCGGACUUUUCUAGAAAAGUUUGUCAACCCCUAAUUAAAAUUUAAGAUGGUUAUAUUGGGCUGUUUCAAAGUUGCUUAAUGAAUGUUUCCAUAAAGUUUAUUCAUUUCUUCAUUAGAAAAGGCAUAUUUAAAUUAUAGGAUUUGGAAAGGGGUAUAUAUCCCCCAAAGAUAAACUUAAAAUAACCCUUUUUACUCUAAACUUUUUAAAUUUGGAUUCGUCAGGGCUUAGUACUGCGGAAAGGCAUAUGUGUCCAAAAAAUGUACAUAAGCCUAAGGUACUUUGGAAGGAUAUUCUAACACGACAAUGGAAAGGUCCUGACCCAGUGAUUGUCUGGAGUUGGGGUUCUGUUUGUGUGUUUCCACAGGGAGAACAACAGCCGAUUUGGAUUCCAGAGAAACUAACCAAAGCGAAUUCUACGGACCAAAAAAAAAAAAAAAAAAAAAGGUGAUUUGACUCAAAUCCAUAACAGCUGAUAUCCAGAGCUCCAGUUUGGCUAUUCUUACAUCUGCAACAGUGAUUAACCAGGAUGCUUUUUUCAAUAUUUAUUUUAUUAUUUGCCUUUUCCCAUAUCAUAAAGUUCUAUUUUAUUUUUGAGCUCAUACAGACCUAGGUUACUAGGUUAAUGUUUUUCUGAUCAGUUUUAUUUUUUGACUGUGGAGUUUUUAAACAUUGCAAUGGAGAUUUCACCUAGGUAAAGCUACAAGGCCUUUACUAUUGUCUUAUGUGUUGCAUGUUAUGUGUGCACACUUCUGUUUUGUGUUGUAUGUCUGUAUGUGCGUAUGUCCAUAUAUCAUAUAUGAGGAGCGCUCAUGAAUAAAUGGAUCCGAAUUUUUUUUAUUCACUUGAUUUUAAUGGUUUAAUUUAGAUUGGCUAAACAGCUGUUGAAAAUUGUUUUAAUAUGUGAACAAAUAAGGAGGUUAACAGAUCUGUUUGUUUACUUUCACCUUUCCUUUUCAUUAUAUUUAAUAAUUCUGUUCAGGAUAAUGUAAAUUGUUCAAAAAAUUGUUUUCUUAGUGCCUGUUGGAAUGUUACAUAAUUUUUUUCUUAGCAUCAUUGCCAGAAUUCCUAUCUUCAUCCCAGUGCCGGUGAAGACAAAGAUAAAACCAAACUACAGCUUCUUCGAUAGUUAUCACAACAAACUGUAAAAACUGAUGCAUCAAUGAAUAAUAACUCAACAAGUAAUGCUCAAUUAAGGAGUUGAUUUACUUUGGGAGGAAAUGGACAUAUUGACAGAUUCCUCUGCUUUGAAUUGCUUGCAGACCUUGCCUGGACUAUGUAUCACUUGUAUGCAUUGUGAACUAUCUGUUGGUACAGCGAAUUGUGGUAGUGCUGGAGUAUUUUUGCUGAUGGUGUCACCGGUGGUACAAUUUUUCAAAGGAGCCCUCAAUUGGCUUAGUGUCAUGGCAUUUUGCAUCCUCCUCCCUUCUACUAGUGAUGGUCUAAAAUUUGGGGGCCAACAGAGGUGAGGCAAAGAACCUCACCCCCCCCAGUGGUGCAAAGGCCUAUCCACAAGUAUGGCUAUAUGCUGGACUGGUAGUCAGUGACGGGUAUGAUCCAAUUGCAGUGGUACCAACCUAAGACAGGAGGCUGACGCCUAGAGGUCAGUUCNCCUGAGUUCAAUCCCUGGUACCAAAUAAAUAAAAUAAAUGAAACAUAGCUGCUGUAAUCUUCAAGUUGAAAAUUUAAGGAACUCUGGUUCUGAUGGUUGUUCAGGAGGACUGAAGGGGUAGAUCCUGUAAACAGGGGCCUGUCAUUAGGGGGUAUGAAUAGUUUGUGAUAUUUUGACUUUUCAUCGCUGAGGCAACCCUAAAUUCUGUGGGUGUGGUGCUCACAAAUGUCUAGUUCUCUUGUUCCUUGAGAUUUGCACUUUGCUGUUCCUCUUGCAGGAGGGAUUAUGUGGUUCUGGCCAGUAGGUUUUAAGAGUGGAGUCAUGUGUCAUUUAAUUGCUGGUAUAAGAUCCUCUCACACUCUCCCCUGCUUUCUAGAGCAGCUUGAAUGAUCCUAAAUAAACAAACCUGGACUCAGUGGGGUCCAUACUAAAGAAGUCAAAGUGCUAAAAUUGCCUUUGCAAAAUGUAGAAGGAGGAAUGUAAAGACUUUGGAAAUAAGGAUGCAAGAGUGGAUUUUUCACACGUAGCCUACCCAGGCACCUAAUCUUUAACUUCAUCUCAUGAAGGAGCCUAGAGAAAAACACUGGUGUAAGAGCUGCCAUCUUGGGAUUGCUUUAAUGGUAAUUGUAACUGUUACUGGGAACAGUGUAGUUAAUAUGAGUCCCCUAGUCAAUGAAAAUGAGAGGGUCUAGACAUGGGAAAAGCCAUGUAGCAUAUUCAAUGGCCAGUAGCCAGAGGAGCAGUGAUUUACAGUUACAAAAGGCAAUAGGCCUGAUAUCAAAUGGCAUGACUUCAGAUGGUAAUGAACUGGGGUGGGGAUCAUCAGACUUAAGAAUUGUGAAGGGUCUGAGAUUUUUACUAUUUACUAGAUGCCUUAGUUUGAAUGUUGAAUAUCCCCCAAAGGCCCAUGUGUUUAAGGCUUGCUUCCCAGGGUGGUGCUGUUGGGAGGAGGUGGGGCCUAGUGGUAUAUCCUUAGGUCAUUGUGAGUAUGCCAUCAAGAGGGACUGUGGGAUCCCAGACCCUUCAUCUUGCUCUUGUUUGCUUCUUGGCCUCAAGGUGAGCUAUUUGCUCUGCCUUGCACUCCCUGCCAUUCUAGGCAAGCACUCUAGCACAGAGCCACAUCCCCAGCCCUCCCUGCCAUUCUGUCUGGCAUCCCCGCGAGACACCUAAAAGCAAUGGGUCCACAAGUUCAUGGACUGGAACCUUUAAAAUUGUGAGCUCUCUCUGCUUUUUGUCUC